CUACGGGUUGCUGCAGUGGGGAAUUUUGCGCAAUGGGGGAAACCCUGACGCAGCAAUACCGCGUGAGUGAAGAAGGCCUAUGGGUCGUAAAGCUCUUUUCUUGGGGAAGAUAGUGACGGUACCCAAGGAAUAAGCACCGGCUAACUCCGUGCCAGCAGCCGCGGUAAUACGGAGGGUGCAAGCGUUGUUCGGAUUUACUGGGCGUAAAGGGCACGUAGGCGGCACAGCAAGUUAAGGGUGAAAUCCCGGGGCUCAACUCCGGAACUGCUCUUAAAACUGCUGAGCUAGAGAUAGUCAGAGGCGGGUGGAAUUCCAGGUGUAGAGGUGAAAUUCGUAGAUAUCUGGAGGAACACCGGUGGCGAAGGCGGCCCGCUGGGGCUAUUCUGACGCUAAGGUGCGAAAGCGUGGGGAGCAAACGGGAUUAGAUACCCUCGUAGUC
rnacentral:rRNA from 1 species